AGGGAGGGGAGAAAGAAAACUCCCUUCCUGAAGUGUAUUGUAAAUUUGGGGGCCAAGAUUUAAGACUGCAUCCCCAGGCUAACUUCAAAUCUGGCCAAACACGAUGCUUCCUUCCAUGGGAAAGUUUCAACUAGCCGGAGAAAGAAGUUCUUACUUUAGAAACUCAAAUGCACUGAUUAAAAGUGAGUGCCACAAACACACACUCCAAUAUCAUCAACAGCGAGUCAGAACCCACACCCGAGUUAACAGGAAACUUGGUGGAGGAGAGUGAGAGUCGCCACUGAAACAAAAGCCUGGGCUCUGAAUGCCAUCCCAGCAGGCAGCGCUCGCCUUUUCAAUGAGACUCCCACUUUGAUGUGUGUUUUUUAACUGCAACUUUCAUGUGGUGACGGAAGAAGCUCAGAGCAAGGUGGUAGCAUUAUGUGAAGACCAAUGCUUUCAAAUGCCCUUUGCCCCUCAACAGCACCAGGCAGACAAAGAAGAACCACAUAGCCGGGAGAAGCCUACCUGUUUUUUAAAGAAUAUCCGUGCUAGUAGAAUCUAACAGGAGCCCACGUUCCAUGGAAAGGCAAGGAUUCAGAAGGUGGUGGCCAAAUGAGGUCCCUCAGCUGGCAAGAGGGAAGCUUUGACAGAGCAACACGCCUCUCACAUCCUCAGGGCACAUGAAAGUUGAACUGGAUGGAGUAGGGG
ensembl:lncRNA